GUGCGCAGCUACCAUCUGUCGGAUUAUGUCUGAACGCCUCUAAGCCAGAAGACUUGCUAGAAACGACGAUAGACAAUCUCUCCUGGUUUCGAUGUGAUAUCCACAGGGCAUAGUGUAAGAGCAAUGGGGGUAAACCCUUUUGCUCUUGUGCCGAAUGUACCCGUGUCAAUCAGAGUAACGGUGAGCGUGGGAGUGAGUGAUGACUCGUUGUGUAUAUCUUACUUCUUUUCGUUAAGAAUGGAGAGGACACAUCGUGUUUUCAGUAUAUCUCUACGAGGAUAAACGGGAGGGUAC
rnacentral:rRNA from 1 species